rnacentral:sRNA from 1 species
GCUGGUCACAGUGGCAUAUGCCUGAAGUCCCAGCUAUUCAGGAGGCUGAGGCAUGAGGAUCACUUGAGCCCAGGAGUUCAAGAUCAGCCUGGGCAACAUAGCAGGACCCUCUACUCUU